rnacentral:rRNA from 1 species
UACGUAGGGGGCAAGCGUUGUCCGGAAUCAUUGGGCGUAAAGCGCGUGUAGGCGGCCCGAUAAGUCCGCUGUGAAAGUCCAGGGCUCAACCCUGGAAUGCCGGUGGAUACUGUCGGGCUCGAGUCCGGAAGAGGCGAGUGGAAUUCCUGGUGUAGCGGUGAAAUGCGCAGAUAUCAGGAGGAACACCUAUUGCGAAGGCAGCUCGCUGGGACGUUACUGACGCUGAGACGCGAAAGCGUGGGGAGCAAACAGG